rnacentral:rRNA from 1 species
GACGUAGGGCGCGAGCGUUGUCCGGAUUUAUUGGGCGUAAAGAGCUCGUAGGCGGCUUGUUGCGUCGACUGUGAAAACCUGCGGCUCAACCGUGUGGUCUGCAGUCGAUACGGGCAGGCUAGAAUUUGGUAGGGGAGACUGGAAUUCCCGGUGUAGCGGUGGAAUGCGUAGAGAUCGGGAAGAACAUCAGUGGCGAAGGCGGUCUGCUGGGCCGUUGCUGACGCUGAGGCGCGACAGCGUGGGGAGCAAACAGG